UUGGAUAAUAGUACUACUGAUAGCCAC
rnacentral:sRNA from 1 species